rnacentral:misc_RNA from 1 species
UUAAGUUCAGCGGGUAGUCCUACCUGAUUUGAGGUCAAAGUGUUCAAAGGAGUAAAGCCAGAAAGGCUUUGAGGGAGGGAGCAGGUGAAGCCCAACGGGCGAGGCGUAGACAAAUUAUCAACACCGCGAAGACCCGAGAGGACGAGGCCCUACUGAUGCGUUUGAGGAGAGCGGAGCCCAAGAGGCGGGCCCCGCAGCAC